UCAGUAACAUGUGGCUAACCUACCCUCCGGACUAGAACAACUUCGGGAAACUGAGGCUAAUUCCGGAUAGACGAAGAGGCCUGGAACGGUUCCCCGUCGAAAGGGCACUAGGGCCAUGCUUCCUAGUGUCGCCAGAGGAUGGGCCGCAACUGAUCAGUUGUUGCUCGAGGUAACGGCUCACCAAGCCUAUAACCAGUACGGGCCGUGAGAGCGGGAGCCCGGAGAUGGGCACUGAGAUAAGGGCCCAGGCCCUACGGGGCGCAGCAGGCGCGAAACCUCUGCAAUGCGCGAAAGCGUGACAGGGUCAUCCCGAGUGCCACCCCGCUGAGGAAGGCUUUUGCCCGGUCUAACUAGCCGGGAGAAUAAGGGGAGGGCAAGUCUGGU
rnacentral:rRNA from 1 species